rnacentral:rRNA from 1 species
GUGCCAGCAGCCGCGGUAAGACAGAGGAUGCAAGCGUUAUCCGGAAUGAUUGGGCGUAAAGCGUCUGUAGGUGGCUUGAAAAGUCUCCUGUCAAAGAUCAGGGCUUAACCCUGGGCCGGCAGGAGAAACUCUUAGGCUAGAGUUCGGUAGGGGCAGAGGGAAUUCCCGGUGGAGCGGUGAAAUGCGUAGAGAUCGGGAGGAACACCAAAGGCGAAAGCACUCUGCUGGGCCGCGACUGACACUGAGAGACGAAAGCGAGGGGAGCAAAUGGGAUUAGAUACCCCAGUAGUCCUCGCCGUAAACGAUGGAUACUAGGUGUUGGGUGGGUUCAAAUCAUUCAGUACCGUAGCUAACGCGUGAAGUAUCCCGCCUGGGGAGUAUGCUCGCAAGAGUGAA